UCCUUGGUAGCUCAGUCGGUAGAGCAUAAGACUCUUAAUCUCAGAGUCAUGCGUUCGAAUCCUGAAUUGAGCAGAA